rnacentral:rRNA from 1 species
ACGAACCCUGGCGGCAGGCUUAACACAUGACAAGUCGAACGCAUCCUUCGGGAUGAGUGGCAGUACGGGUGAGUAACGCGUGGGAAUUUACCCAGCUCUACGGAACAACUCAGGGAAACUUGAGCUAAUACCGUAUACGCCCUUUUGGGGAAAGAUUUAUCGGAGUUGGAUGAGCCCGCGUUUGAUUAGCUAGUUGGUGGGGUAAAGGCCUACCAAGGCGACGAUCAAUAGCUGGUCUGAGAGGAUGAUCAGCCACACUGGGACUGAGACACGGCCCAGACUCCUACGGGAGGCAGCAGUGGGGAAUAUUGGACAAUGGGCGCAAGCCUGAUCCAGCCAUGCCGCGUGAGUGAUGAAGGCCCUAGGGGUUGUAAAGCUCUUUUCACCGGUGAAGAUAAUGACGGUAACCGUAGAAAGAAGCCCCCGGCUAACUUUCGUGCCCAGCAGCCCGCGGUAAAUACCAAAGGGGGGCCUAGC